CCUCGGGAGGCAGCAGUNGGGAAUAUUGCGCAAUGGGGGCAACCCUGACGCAGCAAUGCCGCGUGAGUGAAGAAGGCCUUCGGGUCGUAAAGCUCUUUUAUGGGGGAAGAUGAUGACGGUACCCCAUGAAUAAGCACCGGCUAACUACGUGCCAGCAGCCGCGGUAAUACGUAGGGUGCGAGCGUUGUUCGGAAUUACUGGGCGUAAAGGGCGUGCAGGCGGAUUGGCAAGCCGGAGGUGAAAGCCCGGGGCUCAACCCCGGAGGGUCUUUCGGAACUGCCAGUCUUGAGAGGAUCAGGGGCCAGCGGAAUUCCUGGUGUAGAGGUGAAAUUCGUAGAGAUCAGGAGGAACACCGGCGGCGAAAGCGGCUGGCUGGUNCCACUCUGACGCUGGGACGCGAAAGCGUGGGGAGCAAACAGGAUUAGAUACCCUGGUAGUCCACGCCGUAAACGAUGGGCACUAAACGUCCGACGGUUUCUACCCUGUUGGGUGCUGCAGUUAACGCGUUAAGUGCCCCGCCUG
rnacentral:rRNA from 1 species